rnacentral:lncRNA from 1 species
CACAGAGCUGAGCUAUAAGUCUAAUUGGGCCCAAUCUGGAUUCUGCCUGAAAUUCGUGGCCCAGCAUUAUUUUCCCCACCCCUAAUAUAAAGCAAUUUCUCAGACUUUCCAACAAAGAGUUGUAAAUUAACCAUAAAUGUUGAGUCCAGUGAAAUAUGCCUACAGAAUCCAUAUUAUACCAUUACCAUUCCUUUUCAGGGUUUAGGAUAUUCGAGUCUCAGUUAGCUUUUAUUUGAUUUUGUUUGCUUGCUGCGGUUAUCAAGGAUAUCCAUAUAACUUAUGCAACAAUUUUCAUAAUUAAACUCUGUGAUCAUGCGCACCUUGGAGUCUGUUAAGGUCAAGAGAUAAUUCCUUGAGUUUGGUCAAAUUCCCGAUUUCUUUUGGUAUGGCUCCUGAGAAAUCAUUUAAUGACAAACUUAAUUUUGAAGGAAUUAUAAUCAGGUUUGCUUGAAAUCAUUUAAUGACAAACUUAAUUUUGAAGGAAUUAUAAUCAGAUUUGCUUCAAAGAAU